CACCUAACACCUAUUAUCAAAUAAGAAAGAAAAAAAUGCGGGGGAGAAUGGCCGUCCCCAGUGACUGAAGACAUUGUCGACCAAUUGUCAGAAGUUAAAAUGAAUGGUCACAAAGAAUCUUGGCUUGGUUGGCUUCACCUUGAUGCCUAGAAACUUUUGGCUUCUUCACUCUGUUUUCUCUGGUCCACAGAGCUUGGGAUCUGUUUGAUAAUAUAAAACAUCCCCAGCGUCACUAACAUAGUGAUCUUGUUUCAUGCUUCUUAUAAGUGUUCCCAGC
rnacentral:lncRNA from 1 species